GGGGAGGUGCCCAGCCCUGGAGGAAGGGUCAACAGGGUGGGUCCCUCGCAAGGCAUCCUGGGAGUCAUAGUCCUUAAACGGUUUCCAGCACGUUGAUCGGAAGGCUACCGAACUACAAUCCCAGCAUGCACCGGGAUUGGGGCGGUGUGUAACCCUGGAGGGAAGGAUAGAGAGGCUCGUCCCUGGCCAGGGAUGCUGGGAGUUAUGGUCUCUUAACGGUUUCCAGCGAUGGCCCCCGGCCUGCAGACUACAAUCCCAGCAGCACCGGGCUUCGAGGCGGUGUGUAGCACUGAAGGGAAGGACAGGGAGGUGCGACCUUUGCCAGGCGUGCUGGGAAUUAUAGUCUCUUAACAGUUUCCAGUCAGUUGGUCUCAGGGCUACCUGACUACAAUCCCAGCAUACGUUGGGCUUGGAGGCGGUGCGCAGCCCUAGAGGAAGGAUUGGGACGGCGGGUACCUCGCAAGGCAUCCUGGGGGUCAUAGUCCUUUAAGUAUUUCCAGCCCAUUGGUCGCGAGGCUAACGGACUACAAUCUCAGCAUGCGCUGGGUUUGGGGGCGGUGUGUAGUAUGGAAGCGAAGGAUAGGGAGGCGCGUCCCUAGCUAGGAGUGCUGGGAGUUAUGGUGUCUUAACGAUUUCCAGCCCAUUGGUCGCCGACCUGCUAACUACAAAACCAGCAUGCGCUGUCUGUCCUCCCCCGUGGUGCGCAGCCCUGGAGGGAGGGACAGGGCAGUGUGGACCUGGUCCUUUCCUAAGCGAUGCCACAUGCUGAUUCUGUGCCAACCCCUCGCCAAGGGAGACCGCAGAAGGACUUGAGGGGCAGGUCUAGGCUGGGCGAUGAGGACGGUGUGACCCUGCGAAGUGCACCUCCGUUGCUCAAAUCGGAGGUGUCUGGUCCUCACUGCACAGCCCACUGCACAUCUCGGUGUCCUCUCACAUACACACCCGCGGAGGGUUUCCAGAGCAUCGCACCUCUUCCAGCCCAGGAAGCCGCCUGCUCUGCUAAACUCCAUGGGAACUGAGACAUCCACCUGCUGCGUGGCCCACCCGUGAGCAACUCCAUAGCUUUCAGGGGGUGAUGCGGGCUGUGGCUCCUUCGUGAAAAUGUCACCGUCUGCAGCGCCUUUCUUGUGAUAUAGAACUUGACGCGUGAGAGAGGGUAUUUAUUGGGUUACCCAGGAUCUGCUAACAGCAGAGGAGAAAACCACAAUUCCCAGGCAUAAGAAUCUACCUAAAGAUGAUGGUUUAGAUAUUUUACAGUUGAAAUCACCAGCCUUAUCUCAACUGAGUCCUGACUGACGAGUGUCUCAAAAACGCAGUUGGUGACCUGAUCCCUCAGGAACAGGUGGUGCUCCAGCUUUGUGGGGAUGACUUUCAAGGUGCAGAGCACUUGAGCAGUAUUUGAAGUCAUUCAUGUUUUACAUCUCUGCUUUGGAUGGAAAGUUGAUCACCCACAGCCGUUGGGGAUGUACCUUAAUAUACUGGGGCUUAUCAGUUAAAUUUUUCUGUCUAGACAAUGAAAACCCAGAAAUUCCACUUGCAGGUUCCUGCGAAUGAAGUUGCAAAUAUUGAUGAAGAUAAUACUACUGCCUUGCUGUCAAACAGUAACAGUCACUUUUUUUUGUAUCUCCAAUUAUAAAUGCAAUACAUACUGUAAAAAGAAAAGAACACAUCAUAAAUAUCUUUAUAAAGUAAAAUUCUUGGCUGGUGGCCGGGAGAAGUGACUCAUGCAUGUAAUCUCAGCACUUUGUGAGGCCGAGGUGUGUGGAUCAUGAGGUCAGGAAUUUCAGACCAGCCUAGCUGACAUGGUGGAACCCCGUCUCUACUAAAAAAUACAAAAAUUAGCUGGUCUUGGUGGCGGGUGCCUGUAAUCCCAGCUACCCACGAGGUUGAAGCAGGAGAAUCACUUGAACCCAGGAGGUGAAUGGUGCAGUGAGCCAAGAUCGUGCCACUGCACUCUAGCCUGGGCAAGAGAGUGAGACUCCAUCUCAAAAACAAAACAAAACAAAAAGUUGGUUGGCCUAGUGGCUCAAUCCCAGCACUUUGGGAGCCCAAGGCAGGUGAAUUGCUUGAGCCCAGAAGCUCAAGACCAGUGUGGGCAACAUGGUAAAACCCUCUCUCUACAAAAAUACAAAAAUUAACCAGUUAUGGUGAUGUACAUCUGUAUUCCCAGCUACUAGGGAGGCUGAGGUGGGAGGAUUGUUUGAGCCUAGGAGGCCAAAUUUGCAGUGAGCUGUAAUCACACCACUGCGCUUCCAUGUGGACAACAAAGUGAGACCCUGACUCAAAAAAUAAAGACAUAAUAAACUGAAAGUCCCCUUUAUUCCCUUCUCUUCAAACUCACUUUUUUUUAUUUGAAAAAACUGUUAAGAGGUUGUUUUUUAUUCUUCUGGCUAAGUUGUAUAAAUUUCUUUCUUUCUUUUUUUUUUUUGAGAAAGCGUCUCGCUGUGUUGCCCAGGCUGGAGUGGAGUGGCACAAUCUCGGCUCACUGCAAGCUCUGCCUCCUGGUUUCACGCCAUUCUCCUGCCUCAGCCUCUCGAGUAGCUGGGACUAGAGGUGUCCACCACCACGCCCGGCUAAUUUUUUGUAUUUUUAGUAGAGACAGGGUUUCACCGUGUUAGCCAGGAUGGUCUUGGUCUCAAUAUCCGCCCCCCUGAUCUGCCCACUUCGUCUUCCCAGAGUGCUGGGAUUACAGGCGUGAGGCACCGCGCCCUGCCUGUUCUAUAAAUUUCUAAGUGAUACACAUAAAGUUUAUUUUAAAAUUUACAUCACACUACAUUUUCUUAAAUCUACUGUUUCUCCAGGUGUAUUCUAUCUAUCUAUCUAUCUAUCUAUCUAUCUAUCUAUCUAUCAUCUAUCUAUCUAUCUAUGACAAGGCCUUGCUCUGUCACCCAGACUGGAGUUCAGUAGCUCAAUUAUGGCUCACUGCAGACUCAAACUCUCAGGCUCAAAUGAUUUUCUAACUUCAGCUUCUGAAGUAGCUGAGAGUACAGGUGCAUGCCACUACUCCUGGCUAAUUGUUAGUUUUUUUUUUUUUUUUCUUUAAACAGGGUCUCACUCUGUCACCUGGGCUGGAAUGCAAUGCACAAUCACAGCUCACUCUAGCCUUGACGACUCAGGCUCAGGCAAUUCUCCUGCCUCAGCCUCCUGAGCAGCUGGGACCACAAAUGUGUAUUAGCACACUUGGAUGUUUAUUAUUAUUUGCAGAGACAGGGUCUCCCUAUGCUGCCCAGGCAUGUUGUGAACUCUUGUGCUUAAGCAGUCUGCUACCUCGGCCUCCCAAAGUGCUGGAAUUACAGGUGUGAGCCACCACAACUUACUCAGCCUUUUUACUUUGUGUAAGAAUAGCAUCAGUGUAUUAAAAAUAUAACGGAAAUUAUUUAUGGUGUCUUUUCAAUUCUUAUCCAUUAAAAUUCUCUUGUUAGAGCCUUUUA